rnacentral:rRNA from 1 species
AUUGAACGCUGGCGGCAGGCCUAACACAUGCAAGUCGAGCGGAUGAAGGGAGCUUGCUCCUGGAUUCAGCGGCGGACGGGUGAGUAAUGCCUAGGAAUCUGCCUGGUAGUGGGGGAUAACGUCCGGAAACGGGCGCUAAUACCGCAUACGUCCUGAGGGAGAAAGUGGGGGAUCUUCGGACCUCACGCUAUCAGAUGAGCCUAGGUCGGAUUAGCUAGUUGGUGGGGUAAAGGCCUACCAAGGCGACGAUCCGUAACUGGUCUGAGAGGAUGAUCAGUCACACUGGAACUGAGACACGGUCCAGACUCCUACGGGAGGCAGCAGUGGGGAAUAUUGGACAAAGGGCGAAAGCCUGAUCCAGCCAUGCCGCGUGUGUGAAGAAGGUCUUCGGAUUGUAAAGCACUUUUAGUUGGGAGGAAGGGCAGUAAGUUAAUACCUUGCUGUUUUGACGUUACCAACAGAAUAAGCACCGGCUAACUUCGUG